GGCGCUAUAGCCAAGUGGUUACGGCGACAGAUUAGAAUUCAUCUCUCGUCUCAUCUGUUCCUCUUUGAGGGCGCAGGUUCGAAUCCUGCUGGCGUCG
rnacentral:tRNA from 2 species